rnacentral:rRNA from 1 species
ACGAAGGGGGCUAGCGUUGUUCGGAAUUACUGGGCGUAAAGGGCGCGUAGGCGGUCCUGAUCGUCGGAUGUGAAAGGCCUGGGCUCAACCUGGGAACUGCAUCCGAUACGGCGGGACUGGAGUGUGGGAGAGGUUGGUGGAAUUCCCAGUGUAGAGGUGAAAUUCGUAGAUAUUGGGAGGAACACCAGUGGCGAAGGCGGCUCACUGGACCGGUACUGACGCUGAUGCGCGAAAGCGUGGGGAGCAAACGGGA